rnacentral:tRNA from 1 species
UGCCGCACGGACAAGGCUGCCCUGGCAACGGACUGUAAAUCCGUCGGCGUACGCCUACCAAGGUUCGAAUCCUUGACCCGCCA